GAUGAACGCUGGCGGCGUGCUUAACACAUGCAAGUCGAACGAUGAAGCCCAGCUUGCUGGGUGGAUUAGUGGCGAACGGGUGAGUAACACGUGAGUAACCUGCCCUUAACUCUGGGAUAAGCCUGGGAAACUGGGUCUAAUACCGGAUAGGAGCGUCCACCGCCGGGUGGGUGUUGGAAAGAUUUAUCGGUUUUGGGUGGACUCGCGGCCUAUCAGCUUGUUGGUGGGGUAGUGGCUCACCAAGGCGACGACGGGUAGCCGGCCGGAGAGGGGGACCAGCGGCAGGGGAGGUGAGACGCCGUCCAGGCGCCUAAGAGAGGCCGCAGUGGGGAAUAUGGGACAAGGGGCGCAAGCAUGCUCCAGCGGUAGCGCGUGGGUGAAGGAGGCCUUCGGGGGGUAAAGCCCGUUUGUGGGGAAAAAACAUCUGCAGGUAGAAAACACGCUGAUGUGACGGUACCUAAAGAAUAAGCACCGGCUAACUUCGUG
rnacentral:rRNA from 1 species